UUUUUCCUAGCUGUAUUGCACAAGCAUUGCUCUUCAGCUUAGUUAUUGUUGUGCUUGGUCCUAACCAUGAACCCUACUGAUCCAGACAAUGACUUGAGGACUUUUGGCUUGGUCUUGUGUCUGCAUUGCCACCAUGGGCCUCUGUGGCAGUCUCUUAAGUACAUCCUGUUCCUGACCUGUGGAUUGACUUGCAGACCUGAUCUUGGACCUGUCUCAUCAUCAGGAACAUGGCUGGUAAGGCCCUGGCAAAAACAGAGGAAAAUGGCUUCCAGUGCUCGUGCAUGAGCAGUCAUUCCAAUUUGAUCCCUCCCAAGGCAAUUCAGCAUGUGAAACUAAGCUGAAGAGGACCUCACUGCAAAAAGGUGGAAAUCAUAUAAGUAGCUUUGCCCAAGAGCACCCUGCUCUCUAUAAGAGGAAAUGACUUCGUGUUUCACACCCUACUUACUUACUUGGAGUGGAAUUUUACAUCCCCUGCAAAGCCUCCUAGAUGUUUCCACUUAUAGAUCGGAAGAUGCUGACAUGCAGCGAGAUGGAGGACAAAGGGCUGUGUGGCUACAGCGUGACGAAGCCUAGCACUCCGACCUGUUUGCAAGCUGUUUGGCGAGGCUCGGGCUAAAGUGAGCUGCUCCGACCGCACUGCCAGGAAGCAUUCAUGCUGAUAUCUGCAAAGCUACACUGGCUGUAGCUUAAGCAGCCAGUAAAUUAACAGCAAGUGACCUUUGAAGAACCAGAGGUGAAUGCAUGAUGUAAAUAGUCUACUAACCACUUCUAAUUUAAUCAGAAAUUCCCAGGACAACUUCCUCAAACAUCUCAUAUGUUUCUUCCCAUUGCUUCCAUAUCUUACUUCCACAGUCUGCUGGACAGGAAGAAAAUGCUUCCUGCCACAGUCAUGAAAGGGAAAUGCAACUAAAGGAAUAAAUGUAGCCUUCAUCUAGCAGUUAAAACUUUAGCUGCUUGUCCCUAUGAAUUCCCUAGUAGGACUUAUAAUCUCUUCUGUUAAUAUCAAGUAGAUCAAAUAUAUAUUUAAUUAUGAAGAUUGGUUAAUAUUGUGUUAAUAUUAUGACACUAAUGUAUCAUUUACUAGUAUUACUAGAUAUUUAAUAGUCAGUGACUUCAUAUUGAAUUGGAUCAAAUGAAAUAUUGCAUUUAGCCCACAACAAUCUUUUAAAUGACAACUACAAUAAAGAAUUGACUGUUUGCAAGCAGAGCUGUAACAGACACUUAAAUACAUACUUUUAUUAUUGUAUUUCUAAAUGUACAAAUUAAAAGGCAAAUCAAUUAAAAAGCUGUCCUGCUAUUUUAUGAUUUCAGAGGGAUUUAGGAAAGUCCAAUGCGUGUGGUGAUCUGGGUACAUA